CUUGAACGCUGGCGGAAUGCUUUACACAUGCAAGUCGAACGGUAGAGGGGGCAACCCCUCGAGAGUGGCGAACGGGUGAGUAAUAUAUCGGAACGUGCCCAGUCGUGGGGGAUAACGUAGCGAAAGUUACGCUAAUACCGCAUACGAUCUAAGGAUGAAAGCGGGGGAUCGCAAGACCUCGCGCGAUUGGAGCGGCCGAUAUCAGAUUAGGUAGUUGGUGGGGUAAAGGCUCACCAAGCCAACGAUCUGUAGCUGGUCUGAGAGGACGACCAGCCACACUGGAACUGAGACACGGUCCAGACUCCUACGGGAGGCAGCAGUGGGGAAUUUUGGACAAUGGACGCGAGUCUGAUCCAGCCAUUCCGCGUGCAGGAUGAAGGCCCUCGGGUUGUAAACUGCUUUUGUACGGAACGAAAAGGUCUCUCUUAAUACGGGGGACUCAUGACGGUACCGUAAGAAUAAGCACCGGCUAACUACGUGCCAGCCGCCGCGGUAAAAC
rnacentral:rRNA from 1 species